GCAGCCGCGGUAAUACGUAGGUGGCAAGCGUUAUCCGGAUUUAUUGGGCGUAAAGGGUGCGUAGGCGGCAGUUUAAGUUUAAGGUGAAAGCGUUGGGCUCAACCCAAUACAGCCUUAAAAACUGGACAGCUAGAGUGCAGGAGAGGUUAGCGGAAUUCCAUGUGUAGCGGUAAAAUGCGUAGAUAUAUGGAGGAACACCAGUGGCGAAGGCGGCUAACUGGCCUGUAACUGACGCUGAGGCACGAAAGCGUGGGGAGCAAAUAGGAUUAGAUACCCC
rnacentral:rRNA from 1 species